rnacentral:rRNA from 1 species
ACUGCUCAGUAACACGUGGAUAACCUACCCUCAGAUCUGGGAUAACUCCGGGAAACUGGGGAUAAUACCGGAUAAUCCGUGAACGCUGGAAUGCCUCACGGUUCAAAGCUUUUGCGUCUGAGGAUGGGUCUGCGGCCGAUUAGGUAGUUGCUGGGGUAACGUCCCAACAAGCCGAUAAUCGGUACGGGUUGUGAGAGCAAGAGCCCGGAGAUGGAUUCUGAGACACGAAUCCAGGCCCUACGGGGCGCAGCAGGCGCGAAAACUUUACACUGCGCGAAAGCGCGAUAAGGGGAACUCGAGUGCGUGCGCAAUGCGUACGCUUUUCAGAUGCCUAAAAAGCAUUUGGAAUAAGGGCCGGGCUAGACCGGUGCCAGCCGCCGCGGUAACACCGGCGGCUCGAGUGGUGGCCGCUAUUAUUGGGCUUAAAGGGUCUGUAGCCGGACCAGUCAGUCCUUUGGGAAAUCUUACGGCUUAACCGUAAGGCUGCCAGAGGAUACUGCUGGUCUUGGGACCGGGAGAGGCAAGAGGUACCUCAGGGGUAGGAGUGAAAUCCUGUAAUCCUUGAGGGACCGCCAGUGGCGAAGGCGUCUUGCUAGAACGGGUCCGACGGUGAGGGACGAAAGCUAGGGGCACGAACCGGAUUAGAUACCCGGGUAGUCCUAGCCGUAAACGAUGCGAGCUAGGUGUCACGUGAAUUGCGAAUCCACGUGGUGCCGUAGGGAAACCGUGAAGCUCGCCGCCUGGGAAGUACGGCCGCAAGGCUGAAACUUAAAGGAAUUGGCGGGGGAGCAC